rnacentral:rRNA from 1 species
UAAUCCUACGGGACGCAGCAGUGGGGAAUAUUGGGCAAUGGGCGCAAGCCUGACCCAGCAACGCCGCGUGAAGGAAGAAGGCUUUCGGGUUGUAAACGUCUUUUCUGAGGGACGAUAGUGACGGUACCUCAGGAAUAAGCCACGGCUAACUACGUGCCAGCAGCCGCGGUAAUACGUAGGUGGCAAGCGUUAUCCGGAUUUACUGGGUGUAAAGGGCGCGUAGGCGGGAUGGUAAGUCAGAUGUGAAAACGAUGUGCUCAAC